rnacentral:rRNA from 2 species
UGCUGCAUGGCUGUCGUCAGCUCGUGUUGUGAAAUGUUGGGUUAAGUCCCGCAACGAGCGCAACCCUUAUCCUUUGUUGCCAGCGAUUAGGUCGGGAACUCAAAGGAGACUGCCAGUGAUAAACUGGAGGAAGGUGGGGAUGACGUCAAGUCAUCAUGGCCCUUACGACCAGGGCUACACACGUGCUACAAUGGCGCAUACAAAGAGAAGCGACCUCGCGAGAGCAAGCGGACCUCAUAAAGUGCGUCGUAGUCCGGAUUGGAGUCUGCAACUCGACUCCAUGAAGUCGGAAUCGCUAGUAAUCGUGGAUCAGAAUGCCACGGUGAAUACGUUCCCGGGCCUUGUACACACCGCCCGUCACACCAUGGGAGUGGGUUGCAAAAGAAGUAGGUAGCUUAACCUUCGGGAGGGCGCUUACCACUUUGUGAUUCAUGACUGGGGUGAAGUCGUAACAAGGUAACCGUAGGGGAACCUGCGGUUGGA